AGGCCAUCUCCCUUCCUGACUUUCUCCCCUUUCUCCUGGGGGAUUUGAGUAUAUAUGAUUUGAGGGAAAGGAACUGAGAGUGGGUUUGAGGGGUAAAGUUUCUAGGAGUGAAAGAGCAAAGAUUUUUCCCCAAGAGAAGGAACAGAUGUCUGCAGUUUUUGGGAUACCUGUCACGGUGCUCUGGGGUCCAUCCUCCACAGAACCUCAGGAAGAUGACAGGCCGCCCAGAGGUACCAACUCCAUGAAAAAUUAAGACCCUGGAUGAUGCUCCGAUGACGUGUUUGCCAGAUUAUUCUCAAACCCCCUGAUUCCAAGUCCACCCACGUGCCCUCUCCCUCCUCCGCCACAUUUGUCAACAGGGCACACCAGAGCCUUCCCUAGAUCACUCCAGGCAGUGGCAAGUUCUGGGGCUGCCAGCUGUGGGGCCCUUCCCGGGUUGUCCC
rnacentral:lncRNA from 1 species